ACUAUUUUGGCAGAAGUUUAUGCAAUAAAUUUAGGAUUUAUUUAUAUGAUUUAAUAUCAUAAAUAGUA
rnacentral:tRNA from 1 species